rnacentral:rRNA from 1 species
CCUACGGGAGGCACCAGUGGGGAAUAUUGCACAAUGGGCGCAAGUCUGAUGCAGCCAUGCCGCGUGUGUGAAGAAGGCCUUCGGGUUGUAAAGCACUUUCAGCGAGGAGGAAGGUGUUGUGGUUAAUAACCACAGCAAUUGACGUUACCCGCAGAAGAAGCACCGGCUAACUCCGUGCCAGCAGCCGCGGUAAUACGGAGGGUGCAAGCGUUAAUCGGAAUUACUGGGCGUAAAGCGCACGCAGGCGGUCUGUCAAGUCGGAUGUGAAAUCCCCGGGCUCAACCUGGGAACUGCAUUCGAAACUGGCAGGCUAGAGUCUUGUAGAGGGGGGUAGAAUUCCAGGUGUAGCGGUGAAAUGCGUAGGGAUCUGGAGGAAUACCGGUGGCGAAGGCGGCCCCCUGGACAAAGACUGACGCUCAGGUGCGAAAGCGUGGGGAGCAAACAGGAUUAGAUACCCUCGUAGUC